rnacentral:rRNA from 1 species
GCUAGUAAUGGCAGGUCAGCAUACUGCCGUGAAUACGUUCCCGGGCCUUGUACACACCGCCCGUCCACACCAUGAGAGUUGGGAAUACCCGAAGCCUGUGAGCUAACUUUUAGAGGCAGCAGUCGAAGGUAGAAUCAAUGAUUGGGGUGAAGUCGUAACAAGGUACC